AAAUUUUAGGGUGGUUCAUAGCUGCUGUUCAGGUCACUUCUUUAUAGGUUUACACUUGUUUCAUCCAUGCAUAUUUGUGCAGGAAGUAUUAUGUAGAACACAGGAGAAGGGGCACAAUCAUCCCAGCUUGUUCGCAAACAGGCUCAUUUCAUUAGUUUUGCAAAGAUGUGAGUCUGACUUUUUCUUCUAAAAGUACUAAUUCAGUUCAGUGGGAAAGAUUAGUUGUGUGGUUGACUGAGUAGCAUAGAACUUGCAAAAAUAUUCUUCUGUCGCACUCACACACGUCUCUUGCUGGAGUCAGAAAACUCAGUCGUUGCUCGAUUUGUAAGUAACUAACUCUAUGGCACAGCAGGGCAUGUAAGAAAUUACCUAGUUUAUCAUUAGAAAAUCAUUUUAACUGGAGUAGCUGGGUAAUGCGGUGGCUGGAAGCUGAGUACACGGAGACUAUUAAGGUGAGGUGGGAAACAAAUUCUGCAGAUUGAUUUUCCUAGGCACUUGUCCUUGGAGGAACUGUGUGAUGCCUGGUAUACACACCUGCGUGAAACUUACUUCUUUGGUCCAAGUCCUUCUCCAUGAAAAUUUAUAGCUGCUACGUGAUCUCAAACAACUCCUCGCUGUUAUCAUUUCUCUCAGGUUCUAGGUUAGAGAAGCUGCAAAAUUGUGGCUCAUACAAUCGUAUCCUAGCCUGCACCCAUACACAUGCCCAUGGAGUCAUGGGUCUGGUUAGCAACGAACGAACUCAUAGGUGAGUUCGAUCAACUCACCCGGCAGCGUGGACUUUGGUAUAGGUCAACGUUUUUCUUUGGGUGGAAAAGAUCAAUGUUGUACACGUCCGGGACAUAUAUAGUAGACGUAUUGGACCUGAGAAAGCUAGACGUGGUGGGCGUGGAUAGCUAGCAGCUAGACGUGGUGGAUCUUAGACUCAUGACAUUAUUUGGAAUAUUAAUCCGGGUUCACCAAGUUUACAUUGUAAAAAAGAUCUAACGGACCUGACUGCUCUAUAACAAAAGAUAUACAAGAUCUAAGCUGGUAUUUUCUAAUUAUUGUACGAUUUUUUAGAAUAUUCCUCUAUAUUUCACCCGUAUUUGUCUUUUAGUAUAUAAUAGAAUAGAUAGAUAGAUAGAUAGAUAGUUGUAUGUUUGAUAAUUGUUGAUGAUAUCUUAUGGUUGCAAAAGAAAUGUAUCUUUGGGCAAAAUGUCCACAUUCUUACAUAGGUCCAUUGUUGUCCCCUUCAUAGCCCGUUGGUUCUAUUUUCAUUAUAUAUCUUUUUUGUUCUAAGUGUUAAUUGUUGAGUGUCAACAAUAUGUGGAUAUUGUUCUUCAGGUUAUCAUGGCUGAAACUUGGGCAAAACUAUGGGCAUACAAAAUACAUAUUUGUUUUUGUUGCCUUAUAAACAUGGUUGUGAACGGACUGAAUAUUGGCAAACAGCUAUAUAUCCGUUCUCACUUACUUUGUUGUUUCUGAAAGUGAAAGGGACAAGUUAUCAAAAAAAAAGUGAAAGGGACAAAGGAUAGCGCAGAGAGCAGAUAACACAUGGGGUAUGUUGAUAUUUUUGGUCGAAUUUACAGUCCAUUAGCUGUCAUAAAUAUAUCACAACUAGCAUGCAUACAUCCUGACAACAUUGAUGAAGAUAUGCUUGAUAACUACUCCCUUCGUCCUAUAAUAUAGGAUUUUUUUGACACUAACGGAGGGAGUAACUAACAAGAUCUGAUUAUUCGUUUCAUAAAUGUUUACAAGAAAUAAGUAAGGAAUAUAGACUAAAUUUGUAGUUCUUGUGCAAGCUGAUGAAGUUUUCUAUACCUGUAGAAGCUUUGUUCCUACUAUUCUCACCUUGUACACAUAUAUAGCAUUGUUCCUACUAUUGUAACCUUGUAUACAUACAUACUGGUUCGUUUUUUUUGUGAGAAAAGGUUCAUUUGAUUAUUGCUUCUUGUUAGAAAUAAUGGUACUAUUCUGGUCAAGUGGGCACCUUGUAUACAUAUAUGCUUUUCUGUCUAUCCUUGAACUAAUACAAAAGAAGCAUGAUCAUUUCAAGAUGCACUUUCGCGAAGGAAACCGACAAACUAUAUCAUAUUUUCCUUUGGGAGCUGUCUCUUAUGCAGUGUAAUUCUUUGUGCUUUGGAUUCUUUGCAGGUUUGGCAGUUAGUUCGUGUUACUAUCGACCAAGGCUUUUUAGCAGGAAUUACUUGGGUCUGAAAAGCUUCCUGGAAGUGGUGGUCUAGUGUUGGAGAUUAAAAUCAUGUAGUAGUGCAGUUUCAAUGAUGUUAUGUUACUUGAUUUUUAUUAAAUGCUUAUGCUUAUGGCACCUUGUAAAUAUGCUUGUAAUGUUUCGAUAUUAAUUUUGCUUUUUGAAAUCAGACCAGAUUGUUGGGAAUUUGUAUUGUCUUGUUGAAUGAAUAUAAUUGCAUGUCUUGUUGUAAA
rnacentral:lncRNA from 1 species